rnacentral:rRNA from 1 species
CCUUUUUUUANUUNCUCUGCGGNNGAGGGGGGGGGCCCUUACCAAAAUGGGGGGGAAANNNNUUUUCCCCUUAUUGGNNGGGGGGGGGNNGAACCGGGNNCCCCCCCCUAAANNNGGAACUCGGGAACGGGGUUANCCGAGUUUUUUAACCGCAGGUUCAACAAAAAGGGGCUUGGUUCCCCUUACAAAGGACCCGGCGCCUUAGUUAGUGGGAAGUACGGUUCCCAAGCGACGAUGGUACCGACCUGAAGGGUGAUCGGCCCCCUGGGACUGAGCCCGGCCCGAUUCUACGGAGGCAGCAGUAGGGAUCUUCCGCAAUGACGAAAGUCUGACGGAGCAACGCCGCGUGAGUGAUGAAGGUUUUCGGAUCGUAAAGCUCUGUUGUUAGGGAAGAACAAGUGCCGUUCAAAUAGGGCGGCACCUUGACGGUACCUAACCAGAAAGCCACGGCUAACUACGUGCCAGCAGCCGCGGUAAUACGUAGGUGGCAAGCGUUGUCCGGAAUUAUUGGGCGUAAAGGGCUCGCAGGCGGUUUCUUAAGUCUGAUGUGAAAGCCCCCGGCUCAACCGGGGAGGGUCAUUGGAAACUGGGGAACUUGAGUGCAGAAGAGGAGAGUGGAAUUCCACGUGUAGCGGUGAAAUGCGUAGAGAUGUGGAGGAACACCAGUGGCGAAGGCGACUCUCUGGUCUGUAACUGACGCUGAGGAGCGAAAGCGUGGGGAGCGAACAGGAUUAGAUACCCUGGUAGUCCACGCCGUAAACGAUGAGUGCUAAGUGUUAGGGGGUUUCCGCCCCUUAGUGCUGCAGCUAACGCAUUAAGCACUCCGCCUGGGGAGUACGGUCGCAAGACUGAAACUCAAAGGAAUUGACGGGGGCCCGCACAAGCGGUGGAGCAUGUGGUUUAAUUCGAAGCAACGCGAAGAACCUUACCAGGUCUUGACAUCCUCUGACAAUCCUAGAGAUAGGACGUCCCCUUCGGGGGCAGAGUGACAGGUGGUGCAUGGUUGUCGUCAGCUCGUGUCGUGAGAUGUUGGGUUAAGUCCCGCAACGAGCGCAACCCUUGAUCUUAGUUGCCAGCAUUCAGUUGGGCACUCUAAGGUGACUGCCGGUGACAAACCGGAGGAAGGUGGGGAUGACGUCAAAUCAUCAUGCCCCUUAUGACCUGGGCUACACACGUGCUACAAUGGACAGAACAAAGGGCAGCGAAACCGCGAGGUUAAGCCAAUCCCACAAAUCUGUUCUCAGUUCGGAUCGCAGUCUGCAACUCGACUGCGUGAAGCUGGAAUCGCUAGUAAUCGCGGAUCAGCAUGCCGCGGUGAAUACGUUCCCGGGCCUUGUACACACCGCCCGUCACACCACGAGAGUUUGUAACACCCGAAGUCGGUGAGGUAACCUUUUAGGAGCCAGCCCNNG